rnacentral:rRNA from 1 species
GCAGUAGCCACGGGAAUACGAAGGGUGCAAGCGUUAAUCGGAAUUACUGGGCGUAAAGCGUGCGUAGGCGGUGAGUUAAGUCUGCUGUGAAAUCCCCGGGCUCAACCUGGGAACUGCAUUUGUGACUGGCAAGCUAGAGUGUGGCAGAGGGGGGUGGAAUUCCGCGUGUAGCAGUGAAAUGCGUAGAGAUCGGGAGGAACAUCAGUGGCGAAGGCGGCCAUCUGGGACAACACUGACGCUGAGGCACGAAAGCGUGGGGAGCAAACAGGAUUAGAUACCCGCGUAGUCCCUGUCUCUUAUAC